rnacentral:misc_RNA from 1 species
UACGGAGGGUGCAAGCGUUAUCCGGAAUCACUGGGUUUAAAGGGUGCGUAGGCGGCAUGAUAAGUCAGAGGUGAAAGCCCACGGCUCAACCGUGGAAUUGCCUUUGAUACUGUUGUGCUUGAAAGGGGCUGAGGUCAGCGGAAUGUGACAUGUAGCGGUGAAAUGCAUAGAUAUGUCAUAGAACACCAAUUGCGAAGGCAGCUGGCUAGACCUACUUUGACGCUGAGGCACGAAAGCGUGGGGAGCGAACAGG